UCCUGUAUUAAAUAUAAAAUUACUGUCACGAUUGCAGUCAUUAGAAUGGAAGAAGCUGAUCUUAUAUUGAAAGCCUGAUUUACUUCGUAAGAGGGGAUACAUCCAUGUUCUAUAAUUUCAUUGCAUCUGUUUGCAGAGUGUCAUGAAUACUUCCACAGUUAUAUUCUAUGUUUAAUCAGUUUGACUUGUGGGUUUUAUUAGGCUAAAUAAAAAAUAGUUGAGUACUUUCUGCUUAAAACACUUUCAACAUAAAAUCUUAUUUUAGUUACAUACAUGAUGAAUUUAAACCAUUUAAACUGCCGCAGUGUGCUUGCUUCUGAUUUGGAAAUCUAGCCCUUUAUGUGUCUGUAUAUAUCAUGCCUGCUCCUGUGCACACAUACGCCUCGUCAAAUUUAAGUUACAGACUUCUUGAGAAAGUAGCUUACUCCUUCCUUUGUAUCAUAGCAUUUAGAACAAAACUGUUUCUCAGUGGUUUGUAAGUAUUAUGGCUAUUGCUGGUUUGGGUUUAAAAUUAUUGAAUAGAGUGGAGUUAGUCUGUUUCUAGUCUGAAUUAUACUGUUUUGAGGUCAGUGUGAUUAACUCAGAGACAUAAUAAUUUUAUCAAGCUCUGAAUUCAGUUUUUUUUUUUUACUUAAUCGUAAGCUGAUUAUUCACCUUUGAUUCUCUCUUGUAUAACAUCUUUGUGUCAGGUUAUGAUACAGAAACAUCUGUCAGGGUGUAGGUUGGAUGGUGUGCAUGUGUGUAUACAUGUGUGAGAGAGAUCAUGCAUGAAAUAUAUGAGAUUUGGGGUAUGUAUCAUGUUUAGGACAUUAAACUGUAUGAAUCUUUGAUCUAUCUGGUUAUACGCACUUAGUUGUGGGCCUGUUACACUUGCUAUUAAUUAGUGGCAAAGUGUGAUGCCCUAGAAAGAUAAGGGCAGGUAUUUUCUUUUAUGUUUUUGUUUUAACUUUUUUGCAUUUUUGCUAAAGACUUAAGUUUAUAAAGAAUAACUAUUGAAAUGACCAUAAAUAAUACUAGAGCUCUGAAAUAAAAACAUUUAUGAACAAUUUAUUAGCGCUGAUAUUUAGGAAGCAUCAAAAUGGACUAUACAACUGAGUAAUCCUAAAGCCUAAUAACGCAAAAUUACAGUGCGCUAUGCAGUGUAGCUAUCAUACUAAAAAAAAAAAAAAAAAGAACCAUUAAAUUAGUUCAGAAAAGGAGCUGAGAGGUUUUUUAUACUAUAAAGUAACAAGUGGUAACUGUAAACUUUGUCUUCUCAAUGCAAAAACCUGUUUGCAGGCAGGGCAUGAGCAUGUAUCUUCAGUGUAACCUUUAACUUUUAAGGUGUAUAGGGGGCUGGGGAUUUAGCUCAGCGGCAAAGUGCCUGCCUGGCAAGCGCAAAGUCAUGAGUUCAAUUCCUGGUACCGGAAGAAAAACGAAAAACAAAAAAAAAACCAAACCAAAACUUUUAUGGUGUGUAAUACUACAAGUGUUGUAUUAAUGAAUAUUUUAUAAGUACACUGUCAGUGUUUCUAAGCAUUAUAGUUAGUUUUUAAGUGAAGGCAAUGUUUGGGAGUAUUUAAAUUUGUGACUUCGUAAUUUAUUACAUAAUUCAAUAGAUACCAUCUUUAUAAUGAAUUAAUUGGAGUUGCAGAGUAAUUUGAGGAUCUUUAGGGGAAAAAUUGACUUAUUUAAAAUGGUUCUCUGAAGAUACUAGAAUUUUUGUGGAAUUAUCUUUUUUGAUUAUAGUAUUUCUUCUCAAACAUAUUGUUUUGACUGCUUGCAAAGUGUAUUUUCUAAUUUAGAGUCGCUGCUCAUUAUCAGGUGGUGGGUAUAGGAACAAUUUAAUAAAUUUUGGGUAAUUUAGUUUUCAGUUUAAAUUCUCAACUGGCAGUUGGCCGAAAACUCCCGUGUGAAGACAUGAGCAUCCAAAUGUCAGUUUGUGAUUUGGCCACUAUCUGCUUGAUGUAGGAAGGCGCUGUCAAGAAAGACUUGACUAAUGGAGUGACUGUCCAAAGGAAAUCAAUGGAAAAUCAUAAACUUCCACCACGAGAAGAUUAUAAAGAGGUCCCUCCUGCACCAAGAAAGAUCUGCAGAUCUUUUUCAGUGUCCUUGAGAGUACUGGGUGAGAACUUGCUCAGUUUGUGUCAAGCACCUUGUUCUCUAAAGGCAGGUGCUUUUGCCGCUGAGCUAAAUCCCCAGCCCCCCAUCUAAAAUUUUGAAAUGGCAUUCAGAUAUAAUUCAUCAACUGUGAAGACAAACGGAACAAAGCAUGUGAUUUGGCACAUACCAUCUGUGUUUGAGAACGAGGUGAUUACAGAUAGUUCGUGCAAAAUAAUUGCUACAAGAAGUUGUUUCCU